UUGCGUAUCAACUCGCUAACCUUCUAAAAAACAAAAACAAAAAGGAGUAGAAAUGUUGACAGUUUGUAUGCGUCUAUAAAUACAACAAUUCAACACACAAUUUCACACUAUACUUGCGGCUUCGUUAUACAUCGACAAGAUUCUCCGCUAUUUUGUUUUUCCGAAGAUGUCAAAGCUCAUGAUGUUGCUUCUUUUGGUGGCAUUGUUAGUGGCUGUAACAAACUUCAAGCUGGCUGAGGCGUGCAGACAACGUGGUCAAACGUGUUGGUAUGAAGAAUGUUGUGGAGGAACAACUUGUGGCUACACGUGGCAUUGUCAAUAAAUCAAGAUUUCCUUUCCAAACUUACACUAUUAUGUCUCAAAUUUUAUUUUCGAGUAAUAAUUUGACAACAAUUUUGUGUAUGAUUUUUGAAACCAACCAAUAAAUUCAAAUUGUGACAAAAUUUAAGAAAAAAAAUGAGAAAUUAUUUU